GACGUAGGGCGCGAGCGUUGUCCGGAUUUAUUGGGCGUAAAGAGCUCGUAGGCGGCUUGUCGCGUCGACUGUGAAAACCCGCGGCUCAACUGCGGGCCUGCAGCCGAUACGGGCAGGCUAGAGUUCGGUAGGGGAGAAUGGAAUUCCCGGUGUAGCGGUGAAAUGCGCAGAUAUCGGGAAGAACACCCCGUGGCGAAGGCGGUUCUCUGGGACGGUACUGACGCUGAGACGCGAAAGCGUGGGGAGCGAACAGG
rnacentral:rRNA from 1 species